CCCCACAAGGGCCCCCACUCACUUCAGCUCCACCGUCUCCACGAGCUGGUGCAGCUUGAGGAUGUCGUCCUCCAGCUCGUGGUACAGGGCCGUGUCCUUCAUGAUGAGCAGGUACAGCUCCUGGGGGGCCCAGGGGGGCUCAGGGGGCGGCGGGGCCACGCGGGGGGGGGGAAGGUGUUGGGCAGGGGGGGGGAGCACCCACCUUGAUCACCUUCCCCGCGCUCUCCUCCUCCUGCAGCAGCCCCUUGUAGGUCUCGAGGAAGUGCAGCAGCACGGCCAGCACCGCGCGCUUGCGCCGCAGCCCCGCGCCCUCCUCCCAGCACGCCGGGGGGCUGCCGCCCGCCAGCACGAAGUGCUGGUGCAGCUGCUGCAGGAAGCGCUCGGUGGGCAGGAAGAGCGAGUGCGUGAGCACGAUGUCGUCCAGCAGCGAGUCUGGGGGAAACGGGGAGGGGGUCAGGGGCGGGGGCACCCCCCCCACACCAAAACCUCCACCCGGCGAGGGGAGCGAGGCCGAUUCCCGAGCCGCCGCCGAGCCCCCGCGCUGAGUCAGGGCCCCGCUCCCAGCCCCGCGGGGACGGCGGCUCCGGGAGGAGCGGGGGCAGAGGCGCCGGGCAGGCCCCGAGCCGCACGACGCCCCGCUGCGGGCACACGGGGACACGGCUCCAGGAGGGCCGAGCAGUGGGGAAACUGAGGCAGGGGGCGAGGGGCAGGCGGCACAGCCGCUGCUACCGAGGGACAAGGUGACGGUGCCGGGGAUGCCACCACGGAGCUCUCCGGGCUGCCACGGGCGGCCCCGGGGAGGGCGUUUUGGCACGGCCCAGCCGAGCCCCAGCCGUCGCGGUGCGCCCAAGGGCCGCCGGUGCCGGGGCACGGAGGGGACGCAGCCGGCGCGGUGCCCGGUGGCCCCGUCCGCGCCUGCGCCCUGCCGCUGCCUUGACCUUUGGACACGGCGCUGCUUCCUCGCCCUGCCCCACGUGGGCGUCCCUGUGCCAACCCUUGGCCUAGGGUGGGAGCGGGUCCCCGG
rnacentral:lncRNA from 1 species